CCUACGGGAGGCAGCAGUGGGGAAUAUUGGGCAAUGGGCGCAAGCCUGACCCAGCAACGCCGCGUGAAGGAAGAAGGCCCUCGUGUUGUAAACUUCUUUUGUCAGGGACGAAGAAAGUGACGGUACCUGACGAAUAAGCCACGGCUAACUACGUGCAAGCAGCCGCGGUAAUACGUAGGUGGCAAGCGUUAUCCGGAUUGACUGGGUGUACAGGGCGUGUAGGCGGGAUUGCAAGUCAGAUGUGAAAUUACAGGGCUCAACCCUGGACUUGCAUUUGAAACUGUAGUUCUUGAGUGAUGUGGAGGCAGGCGGAAUCCCGUGGGUAGCGGUGAAAUGCUUAGAUAUACGGAGGAACACCAGUGGCGAAGGCGGCCUGCUGGACAUUAACUGACACUGAGGCGCGAAAGCGUGGGGAGCAAACAGGAUUAGAUACCCCUGUAGUC
rnacentral:rRNA from 1 species